rnacentral:rRNA from 1 species
UGGGGAAUAUUGGACAAUGGGCGCAAGCCUGAUCCAGCCAUGCCGCGCGAGUGAUGAAGGCCCCAGGGUUGUAAAGCUCUUUCACCGGUGAAGAUAAUGACGGUAACCGGAGAAGAAGCCCCGGCUAACUCCGUGCCAGCAGCCGCGGUAAUACGAAGGGGGCUAGCGUUGUUCGGAUUUACUGGGCGUAAAGCGCACGUAGGCGGACUAUUAAGUCAGGGGUGAAAUCCCGGGGCUCAACCCCGGAACUGCCUUUGAUACUGGUAGUCUUGAGUUCGAGGGAGGUGAGUGGGAUUCCGAGUGUAGAGGUGAAAUUCGUAGAUAUUCGGAGGAACACCAGUGGCGGAGGCGGCUCACUGGCUCGAUACAGACGCUAAAGUGCGAAAGCGUGGGGAGCAAACAGG